UGGGGAAUAUUGCACAAUGGGCGCAAGCCUGAUGCAGCCAUGCCGCGUGUGUGAAGAAGGCCUUCGGGUCGUAAAGCACUUUCAGCGAGGAGGAAGGGUAGUGUGUUAAUAGCACAUUGCAUUGACGUUACUCGCAGAAGAAGCACCGGCUAACUCCGUGCCAGCAGCCGCGGUAAUACGGAGGGUGCAAGCGUUAAUCGGAAUUACUGGGCGUAAAGCGCACGCAGGCGGUUUGUUAAGUCAGAUGUGAAAUCCCCGCGCUUAACGUGGGAACUGCAUUUGAAACUGGCAAGCUAGAGUCUUGUAGAGGGGGGUAGAAUUCCAGGUGUAGCGGUGAAAUGCGUAGAGAUCUGGAGGAAUACCGGUGGCGAAGGCGGCCCCCUGGACAAAGACUGACGCUCAGGUGCGAAAGCGUGGGGAGCAAAACAGGAUUAGAUACCCUGGUAGUCCACGCUGUAAACGAUGUCGACUUGGAGGUUGUGCCCUUGAGGCGUGGCUUCCGGAGCUAACGCGUUAAGUCGACCGCCUGGGGGAGUACGGCCGCAAGGUUAAAAC
rnacentral:rRNA from 1 species